UCCCUGAGACCCUAACUUGUGA
rnacentral:ncRNA from 110 species